UACGAAGGGGGCUAGCGUUGUUCGGAUUUACUGGGCGUAAAGCGCACGUAGGCGGAUCUUUAAGUCAGAGGUGAAAUCCCAAGGCUCAACCUUGGAACUGCCUUUGAUACUGGGGAUCUUGAGUCCGGGAGAGGUGAGUGGAACUGCGAGUGUAGAGGUGAAAUUCGUAGAUAUUCGGAAGAACACCAGUGGCGAAGGCGGCUCACUGGCCCGGUACUGACGCUGAUGUGCGAAAGCGUGGGGAGCAACAGG
rnacentral:rRNA from 1 species